rnacentral:rRNA from 1 species
CAAGGUUAAGCACUUAAGGUGUGGAGCCGUAGCGAAAGCGAGUUUUAACUGAGCGUUCAGUUACUUGACGUAGACCCGAAACCGGGCGACCUACCCAUGAGCAGGAUGAAGCGAAAGUAAAAUUUCGGGGAGGUCCGAACCCACGAGCGUUGAAAAGCUCGGGGAUGACUUGUGGGUAGCGGUGAAAUUCCAAUCGAGCCCGGAGAUAGCUGGUUCUCCCCGAAAUAGCUUUAGGGCUAGCCUCAAGGUGAGAGAUACGGAGGUAGAGCACUGAAUGUCCUAGGGGGUAUUGCACCU